rnacentral:rRNA from 1 species
UGGGGAAUAUUAGGCAAUGGGGGAAACCCUGACCUAGCGAUGCCGCGUGAGGGAAGAAGGUCUUCGGAUUGUAAACCUCUGUCUUCGGGGACGAUAAUGACGGUACCCGAGGAGGAAGCCCCGGCUAACUACGUGCCAGCAGCCGCGGUAAUACGUAGGGGGCAAGCGUUAUCCGGAUUUAUUGGGUGUAAAGGGUGCGUAGGCGGGUGAUCAAGUUGAAUGUGAAAUCCACCGGCUCAACUGGUGGGCUGCGUUCAAAACUGGUCAUCUUGAGUAUGGUAGAGGCAAGCGGAAUUCCCAGUGUAGCGGUAAAAUGCGUAGAGAUUGGGAGGAACACCAGUGGCGAAGGCGGCUUGCUGGGCCAAAACUGACGCUGAUGCACGAAAGUGUGGGGAGCAAACAGG